rnacentral:rRNA from 1 species
UAAGGGCGCACGGUGGAUGCCUUGGCACUAGAAGCCGAUGAAGGACGUUACUAACGACGAUAUGCUUUGGGGAGCUGUAAGUAAGCUUUGAUCCAGAGAUUUCCGAAUGGGGAAACCCAGCAUGAGUUAUGUCAUGUUAUCGAUAUGUGAAUACAUAGCAUAUCAGAAGGCACACCCGGAGAACUGAAACAUCUUAGUACCCGGAGGAAGAGAAAGAAAAUUCGAUUCCCUUAGUAGCGGCGAGCGAAACGGGAAGAGCCCAAACCAACAAGCUUGCUUGUUGGGGUUGUAGGACACUCUAUACGGAGUUACAAAGGACGACAUUAGACGAAUCAUCUGGAAAGAUGAAUCAAAGAAGGUAAUAAUCCUGUAGUCGAAAAUGUUGUCUCUCUUGAGUGGAUCCUGAGUACGACGGAGCACGUGAAAUUCCGUCGGAAUCUGGGAGGACCAUCUCCUAAGGCUAAAUACUCUCUAGUGACCGAUAGUGAACCAGUACCGUGAGGGAAAGGUGAAAAGCACCCCGGAAGGGGAGUGAAAUAGAACCUGAAACCGUGUGCUUACAAGUAGUCAGAGCCCGUUAAUGGGUGAUGGCGUGCCUUUUGUAGAAUGAACCGGCGAGUUACGAUUUGAUGCAAGGUUAAGCAGUAAAUGUGGAGCCGUAGCGAAAGCGAGUCUGAAUAGGGCGUUUAGUAUUUGGUCGUAGACCCGAAACCAGGUGAUCUACCCUUGGUCAGGUUGAAGUUCAGGUAACACUGAAUGGAGGACCGAACCGACUUACGUUGAAAAGUGAGCGGAUGAACUGAGGGUAGCGGAGAAAUUCCAAUCGAACCUGGAGAUAGCUGGUUCUCUCCGAAAUAGCUUUAGGGCUAGCCUCAAGUGAUGAUUAUUGGAGGUAGAGCACUGUUUGGACGAGGGGCCCCUCUCGGGUUACCGAAUUCAGACAAACUCCGAAUGCCAAUUAAUUUAACUUGGGAGUCAGAACAUGGGUGAUAAGGUCCGUGUUCGAAAGGGAAACAGCCCAGACCACCAGCUAAGGUCCCAAAAUAUAUGUUAAGUGGAAAAGGAUGUGGCGUUGCCCAGACAACUAGGAUGUUGGCUUAGAAGCAGCCAUCAUUUAAAGAGUGCGUAAUAGCUCACUAGUCGAGUGACACUGCGCCGAAAAUGUACCGGGGCUAAACAUAUUACCGAAGCUGUGGAUUGUCCUUUGGACAAUGGUAGGAGAGCGUUCUAAGGGCGUUGAAGCAUGAUCGUAAGGACAUGUGGAGCGCUUAGAAGUGAGAAUGCCGGUGUGAGUAGCGAAAGACGGGUGAGAAUCCCGUCCACCGAUUGACUAAGGUUUCCAGAGGAAGGCUCGUCCGCUCUGGGUUAGUCGGGUCCUAAGCUGAGGCCGACAGGCGUAGGCGAUGGAUAACAGGUUGAUAUUCCUGUACCACCUAUAAUCGUUUUAAUCGAUGGGGGGACGCAGUAGGAUAGGCGAAGCGUGCGAUUGGAUUGCACGUCUAAGCAGUAAGGCUGAGUAUUAGGCAAAUCCGGUACUCAUUAAGGCUGAGCUGUGAUGGGGAGAAGACAUUGUGUCUUCGAGUCGUUGAUUUCACACUGCCGAGAAAAGCCUCUAGAUAGAAAAUAGGUGCCCGUACCGCAAACCGACACAGGUAGUCAAGAUGAGAAUUCUAAGGUGAGCGAGCGAACUCUCGUUAAGGAACUCGGCAAAAUGACCCCGUAACUUCGGGAGAAGGGGUGCUCUUUAGGGUUAACGCCCAGAAGAGCCGCAGUGAAUAGGCCCAAGCGACUGUUUAUCAAAAACACAGGUCUCUGCUAAACCGUAAGGUGAUGUAUAGGGGCUGACGCCUGCCCGGUGCUGGAAGGUUAAGAGGAGUGGUUAGCUUCUGCGAAGCUACGAAUCGAAGCCCCAGUAAACGGCGGCCGUAACUAUAACGGUCCUAAGGUAGCGAAAUUCCUUGUCGGGUAAGUUCCGACCCGCACGAAAGGCGUAACGAUUUGGGCACUGUCUCAACGAGAGACUCGGUGAAAUCAUAGUACCUGUGAAGAUGCAGGUUACCCGCGACAGGACGGAAAGACCCCGUGGAGCUUUACUGUAGCCUGAUAUUGAAAUUCGGCACAGCUUGUACAG